rnacentral:rRNA from 1 species
CGCUGGCGGCAGGCCUAACACAUGCAAGUCGAGCGGAAACGAGUUAUCUGAACCUUCGGGGGACGAUAACGGCGUCGAGCGGCGGACGGGUGAGUAAUGCCUAGGAAAUUGCCCUGAUGUGGGGGAUAACCAUUGGAAACGAUGGCUAAUACCGCAUGAUGCCUACGGGCCAAAGAGGGGGACCUUCGGGCCUCUCGCGUCAGGAUAUGCCUAGGUGGGAUUAGCUAGUUGGUGAGGUAAGGGCUCACCAAGGCGACGAUCCCUAGCUGGUCUGAGAGGAUGAUCAGCCACACUGGAACUGAGACACGGUCCAGACUCCUACGGGAGGCAGCAGUGGGGAAUAUUGCACAAUGGGCGCAAGCCUGAUGCAGCCAUGCCGCGUGUGUGAAGAAGGCCUUCGGGUUGUAAAGCACUUUCAGUCGAGAGGAAGGUAGUGUAGUUAAUAGCUGCAUUAUUUGACGUUAGCGACAGAAGAAGCACCGGCUAACUCCGUGCCAGCAGCCGCGGUAAUACGGAGGGUGCGAGCGUUAAUCGGAAUUACUGGGCGUAAAGCGCAUGCAGGUGGUUUGUUAAGUCAGAUGUGAAAGCCCGGGGCUCAACCUCGGAAUUGCAUUUGAAACUGGCAGACUAGAGUACUGUAGAGGGGGGUAGAAUUUCAGGUGUAGCGGUGAAAUGCGUAGAGAUCUGAAGGAAUACCGGUGGCGAAGGCGGCCCCCUGGACAGAUACUGACACUCAGAUGCGAAAGCGUGGGGAGCAAACAGGAUUAG